GACGAACGCUGGCGGCGUGCUUAACACAUGCAAGUCGAGCGGUAAGGCCCUUUCGGGGGUACGACGAGCGGCGAACGGGUGAGUAACACGUGGGUGACCUGCCCUCAGCUCUGGGAUAAGCCUGGGAAACCGGGUCUAAUACUGGAUAUGACUCCAUGACGCAUGUUGUGGGGUGGAAAGCCUUGUGCGGCUGAGGAUGGGCCCGCGGCCUAUCAGCUUGUUGGGUGGGGGUGAGGCCUACCAAGGCGGACGACGGGUAGCCGGCCUGAGAGGACGACCGGCCACACUGGGACUGAGACACGGCCCAGACUCCUACGGGAGGCAGCAGUGGGGAAUCUUGCGCAAUGGGCGAAAGCCUGACGCAGCGACGCCGCGUGA
rnacentral:rRNA from 1 species